GCGCCGGUGGUGUAAUGGCGUAGAACAUUCCCGCCUGGUUAGAGGGAGGUGCAGGUUCGAGUCCCGCCUGGCGCU
rfam:Heligmosomoides polygyrus genome assembly, scaffold: HPBE_scaffold0002315